rnacentral:rRNA from 1 species
CUGCUGGCUACGAUGUCAGUGACGGUUACGGGGGAUUAGGGUUCGAUUCCGGAGAGGRAGCCUGAGAAACGGCUACCACAUCUAAGGAAGGCAGCAGGCGCGCAAAUUACCCAAUUCUAACAGCAUAAGAGAGGUAGUGACAAGAAAUAACAAUACAAGGCAGUUAAAAUGCUUUGUAAUUGGAAUGAUAGAAAUUUAAACACUUUUUAAAGUAUCAAUUGGAGGGCAAGUCUGGUGCCAGCAGCCGCGGUAAUUCCAGCUCCAAUAGCGUAUAUWAAAAUUGUUGCAGUUAAAAAGCUCGUAGUUGAAUUUCUGUUAAAAAUAACCGGUCUGCUUUUAACAAAAGUGGUAUCUUGGUGUGUUUUUAGCAAUAAUGUCCUUUGAAAUGUGUUUUACUUUGUUGUAAAAGACAAUAUUCAGGAUUUUUACUUUGAGAAAAUUAGAGUGUUUCUAGCAAGCUAAUGUUUUGAAUACUGCAGCAUGGAAUAAUAAAAUAGAAUUUUAGUUCUACAUUGUUGGUUUUAAGAGCUGAAUUAAUGAUUGAUAGGGACAGUUGGGGGCAUUUGUAUUUAACUGUCAGAGGUGAAAUUCUUAGAUUUGAUCGAUG